rnacentral:tRNA from 1 species
GCGCCUGUAGCUCAAUCGGAUAGAGCAACGGACUUCUAAUCCGUAGGUUACAGGUUCGACUCCUGUCAGGCGCGCCA